ACAAGUCUGAAGAACAGUCCAGCCCGCAAACCGCACGAACACACUAGAAGACAGACAUAUACCAAAAGACAGAUUUAUUAAAUACACAGAUAAACAUAAGAACAGAUUGAAUCUAUGUAAGUAAUUCUCAAUGGGUCAUAUUUAUAAUAGAUUUUUUUGGCAUGACUUUAUAAAAGAAAUUGUUAAAGUGAUGAAUAUAGCGACAUAUUUAACAUUAUGCACAAAAAACAUUUAUAUCAUCUAAAUACUAUUUUGCAAGAAUUAAAUCAAGUUAAAACUGAAGCAAUAUAGAUCCUGUCUUGUUUGAUAGAGAAAGUAAUAUACAAGAAUGACUCCAUUUUAUUGACAGAAAGUGUACAC